AUUGAACGCUGGCGGCAGGCUUAACACAUGCAAGUCGAGCGAGCGGCGGACGGGUGAGUAAUGUAUGGGAAACUGCCUGAUGGAGGGGGAUAACUACUGGAAACGGUAGAUAAUACCGCAUACCAUCAGAUGUGCCCAUAUGGACGUCGCUAGUAGGUGGGGUAAUGGCUCACCUAGGCCACGAUCUCUAGCUGGUCUGAGAGGAUGACCAGCCACAAUGUGACGGAGACACGGUCCAGACUCCUACGGGAGGCAGCAGUGGGGAAGAGUGCACAAUGGGCGCAAGCCUGAUGCAGCCAUGCCACGUGUAUGAAGAAGGCCUUUGGGUUGUAAAGCACUUUCAGCGAGGAGGCGUGACUCGCAGAAGAAGGACCGGCUAACUCCGUGCCAGCAGCCGCGGUAAUAC
rnacentral:rRNA from 1 species